CUUGAGGGAGCCCAGCCACAGCGGGCGGCCCUCGUGCCGGUCCCUGCCGUAGGUGGCGAUCAGGGCUUCGGCCUC
rnacentral:antisense_RNA from 1 species